rnacentral:rRNA from 1 species
UAUUUUUAAUAUUUUAAUUUUNUAUUUAAGUAAAAAAGCUUUAAAUAUUAAUAUUAGACGAGAAGACCCUAUAGAAUUUUAUUAAUAUUAAAUAUUUAAAUUAAUAUAUUAUAUUAANNNGAAGGGGAGAUUAAAAAAUUUAAUUAACUUUUUUUAAAUAUAAUAAAUUUUUGUUUAUUUGACCUUGGAAUUAAUUGGGAUUAUAAAAUUAAAUUACCUUAGGGAUAACAGCAUAAUUUUUAAAAUAAGUUCUUAUUA